rnacentral:rRNA from 1 species
ACACAUGCAAGUCGAGGGGCAGCAUGAACUUAGCUUGCUAAGUUUGAUGGCGACCGGCGCACGGGUGAGUAACACGUAUCCAACCUGCCGAUGACUCGGGGAUAGCCUUUCGAAAGAAAGAUUAAUACCCGAUGGCAUAGUUCUUCCGCAUGGUAGAACUAUUAAAGAAUUUCGGUCAUCGAUGGGGAUGCGUUCCAUUAGGUUGUUGGCGGGGUAACGGCCCACCAAGCCUUCGAUGGAUAGGGGUUCUGAGAGGAAGGUCCCCCACAUUGGAACUGAGACACGGUCCAAACUCCUACGGGAGGCAGCAGUGAGGAAUAUUGGUCAAUGGACGAGAGUCUGAACCAGCCAAGUAGCGUGAAGGAUGACUGCCCUAUGGGUUGUAAACUUCUUUUAUACGGGAAUAAAGUGAGGCACGUGUGCCUUUUUGUAUGUACCGUAUGAAUAAGGAUCGGCUAACUCCGUGCCAGCAGCCGCGGUAAUACGGAGGAUCCGAGCGUUAUCCGGAUUUAUUGGGUUUAAAGGGAGCGUAGGCGGACGCUUAAGUCAGUUGUGAAAGUUUGCGGCUCAACCGUAAAAUUGCAGUUGAUACUGGGUGUCUUGAGUACAGUAGAGGCAGGCGGAAUUCGUGGUGUAGCGGUGAAAUGCUUAGAUAUCACGAAGAGCUCCGAUUGCGAAGGCAGCCUGCUGGACUGUAACUGACGCUGAUGCUCGAAAGUGUGGGUAUCAAACAGG